rnacentral:pre_miRNA from 1 species
UUACUACUCCCUCCAUCCGAAAAUACUUGUCAUCAAAAUGGAUAAAAAGGGAUGUAUCUAGAACUAAUAUACAUCUAGAUACAUCCCUUUUUAUUCAUUUUGAUGACAAGUAUUUCCGGACGGAGGGAGUAUAAU